rnacentral:rRNA from 1 species
GAUGAGAUUUCCCAUAGCGUCAAGCUAGUAAGACCCCUGAAAGAUGAUCAGGUUGAUAGGUUUGAGGUGGAAGCGUGGUGACACGUGGAGCUGACAAAUACUAAUCGGUCGAGGACUUAACCAA